rnacentral:tRNA from 1 species
GGAGCUGUGCCUGAAAUAAAGGACCACUUUGAUGUAGUGAAUCAUGAGGGUUAAAAUCCCUCCAACUCCU